UACGAAGGGGCUAGCGUUGCUCGGAAUCACUGGGCGUAAAGCGCACGUAGGCGGCUUUUUAAGUCAGAGGUGAAAUCCUGGAGCUCAACUCCAGAACUGCCUUUGAUACUGAGAAGCUUGAGUCCGGGAGAGGUGAGUGGAACUGCGAGUGUAGAGGUGAAAUUCGUAGAUAUUCGCAAGAACACCAGUGGCGAAGGCGGCUCACUGGCCCGGUACUGACGCUGAGGUGCGAAAGCGUGGGAGCAACAG
rnacentral:rRNA from 1 species